rnacentral:lncRNA from 1 species
AUGGCCGGAGACCGUGGUACGGGCCGCGUGAAAGGCACGGCACAAGUUGUUUCUGCGGUCUGCGCUGCCACCGCGUGGUCAAUCCGCGGCAGUGCCGCUGUCCCGGUUUGGUGCGGCUGGACGCAUGCGCGCAGGCACGCGGAAGUGGCGCGUCUCCGUCGUGGUCGCUUUGCGCAGCUAACCCGCCAGUCUCUAUUGUGGUUAUUCCUCCAGGCGACAGUGCGCAUGCGCCCGACAGCGAGUAAGCGGCACCCGUUUCUGCGAGGCGCUGAGGUGCGGGCUUGCAGUCGGGGCUUGGACCGCCGGCUCAGCGAUGUUCUCCCGCCGCUUCCAAUCCAGGCUGCCCCUCGCCUAUUUCCUCGGGCGCUGUUACGCCCGAGCCCGCCCUGGGACCACGGGCCGCUUCUGCUCCAGGCGGCCCCCGCGCGCGCCGCGGCACCCGAUUGGCUCGGCGUGGCACGUGACCGUCAGCCGCGUGCCCUAGCACCGCGCACGCGCGCUAGCGGAGCGGUCUUCGCCGCUGCCACGCGUGGAAGAGGCUUCGGAACCGCAGGCGCUCGAGGGCGGUGCGGGCAUCUGUCUCGCCCCGCUGCUGCGCUCUGCGCCGUCCUUCAUCCGUUCCGCGCUCUCUUUCGUCUCUGCCCACGUUCGCAGCCCCGGGAAUGUACCGGUUCGGCUCGCGGCUGCCCUCGAGCGCCUCGCGGCAUCCGAUUGGCUCAUUGCCGCGGUGGACUGACAGGCGUCGCCGUCCACUCCCAGCCCUGCCCCGGCCCCCAGCCGUUCAAAAGGGCUCUCGGCCGCGGUGGGAGCCGAGCAGCUCGGGGAUUGGUGGCGCGCGGUGCUGUCGUUGAGCGGCCGGGGCAGCGCAGCGUCCCUGGAGCGGCACGGAGCGGCUCCGGGAUCGCUCUAAGCGGCGUGCUGCCGACUUUCCUAGGAGCCGCUGAACGGGCUUUUCCACCGGUCCCGUCCCGGGCAACCGAGCCCCUUCGCGUCGCAGUGCCUCAGGGCUCCGGGCACCCCCGCCGUGCGCUGCAGGGAGACAGCAGCAGUUCCUACAACGGAGCGGGAAGCGAGCGGGAGAACGCGUCGGGCCAGAUUUGUAGGGCAGCCGAGAGCCGCGGAGCCGCUUCGGUGAUGACUUGUGGAAACAAACUUCACAGCUGGGGAAGGUUGUAAAGCAGGUAUGCUUCUUACGGUGCUGCACCCACACGCUGUGUACAAGGGGGGUACCCCCAUCCUAGCUUGCACAUCGAAAGGCAGAAACCUUCCAUAUUUAAAGAUCGAGGCAUGCAUAUUGCUAGCAUUCCUGAGGGAGGGAGGGACUGUUACAAUUAAUUCCAUGAGAUCAUUAUAAUUCGCUCCACCUCAGAGUCACACCCCUAUAGCAUGCGUAGUGCUUCCUGUUGGCUGUCUUUGGGGGUCGUGGGGAUGAAGGCCGUAUCUCUUCCUCACUGUGUACUCUUGACCUUGGCAUGGUUGAUGAGGGUGAUCCAGCUUUGGCUGGUUUUCUUCAGGACGCAGUCUCCAGUUCAGUGCCAACGACCAAACAGCAACUUCUGGGUUUCCUUGCCCCAUUAACCCACAUCCAUCUUUUCUUGUUUGUCUGAAACUGUAUUCUACCCUUUUCUUCCCCGGGAGGAUAGGGUGCUGUGGGGCUUUAUGGGGUGAUAUGGGGCUAAGGGGGGCUGUUGGGAGCUACAGGGAGGGAUGUGGAGCUAUCGGAGGUUGGGGGUGGGGGGCUGUAGGGGUGGAUAUAAGGUUAUAUGGGGCUAUGGGGUGUGCUAUAGGGGAAUGUGGGGCUAGAAGGCUUUUCCUUCCUUUCCCUUUCUUUCCUGUCAUUUCCCUUCCCACUUCUCCCCACAUUUUCCUCCCCUCCCUUUUCCUUCCCCUCCCCUUUCCUUUUCUGCCCACUACACCCCCCAUUUCCCUUCCCUUCCAUUCCCCUCUGUCUCUUGUUAUUUCCGGAAUACUUUAAGCAUUGGUGUGCGUUACUGAGAACGUUUCUUCCCGCAGUCUGUCAUUUCAUAGCAGGGUGGGUGAAACGCUAGUCAUGGAAAUUUAAGUUAGAAUAGAAAUUGUGUUGGAAUAGAAUAUGAUUGUUUUGUGGUCUUAAAUGUGAAACGUCUUUUCUUCUUGGGUUUUAGGUACAGCAGUUGUUUAAUAGAGACUUUGGAGA